GUCUGUUCAGGCAUAACUAGAAGCUGUCUCAAAUGAACAUGCUGUUUUUAUCUUUCAGUGGAAGUAAAAUAUGACCUGAAAGAAAAUAUUGGAGCUGGCUGCUACGGCAAUGUCUAUCGUGGUAUCAGAAAAGUGGACGGCAAACAGUUUAUCAUCAAGUCGACUUUUUCAGAAGUUGACAGCAAUGUGCCUGGAUAUCCGUUACCCAUACCAAUCGAAGUGGCCAUGAUGACAAUUGCGAGAGAUCCCCCCAGCCCGCUGCUCAUCAAGCUCCAGGAAUGG